rnacentral:rRNA from 1 species
GACGAACGCUGGCGGCGUGCUUAACACAUGCAAGUCGAACGGAAAGGCCCUGCUUUUGUGGGGUGCUCGAGUGGCGAACGGGUGAGUAACACGUGAGUAACCUGCCCUUGACUUUGGGAUAACUUCAGGAAACUGGGGCUAAUACCGGAUAGGAGCUCCUGCUGCAUGGUGGGGGUUGGAAAGUUUCGGCGGUUGGGGAUGGACUCGCGGCUUAUCAGCUUGUUGGUGGGGUAGUGGCUUACCAAGGCUUUGACGGGUAGCCGGCCUGAGAGGGUGACCGGCCACAUUGGGACUGAGAUACGGCCCAGACGCCUACGGGAGGCAGCAGUGGGGAAUAUUGCACAAUGGGCGGAAGCCUGAUGCAGCAACGCCGGGUGCGGGAUGACGGCCUUCGGGUUGUAAACCGCUUUCGCCUGUGACGAAGCGUGAGUGACGGUAAUGGGUAAAGAAGCACCGGCUAACUACGUG